AGUGAACGCUGGCGGUAGGCCUAACACAUGCAAGUCGAACGGCAGCACAGUAAGAGCUUGCUCUUACGGGUGGCGAGUGGCGGACGGGUGAGGAAUACAUCGGAAUCUACUUUUUCGUGGGGGAUAACGUAGGGAAACUUACGCUAAUACCGCAUACGACCUACGGGUGAAAGCAGGGGAUCUUCGGACCUUUCGCGAUUGAAUGAGCCGAUGUCGGAUUAGCUAGUUGGCGGGGUAAAGGCCCACCAAGGCGACGAUCCGUAGCGGGUCUGAGAGGAUGAUCAGCCACACUGGAACUGAGACACGGUCCAGACUCCUACGGGAGGCAGCAGUGGGGAAUAUUGGACAAUGGGCGCAAGCCUGAUCCAGCCAUGCCGCGUGGGUGAAGAAGGCCUUCGGGUUGUAAAGCCCUUUUGUUGGGAAAGAAAAGCAGCAGGUUAAUACCCCGCUGUUCUGACGGUACCCAAAGAAUAAGCACCGGCUAACUUCGUG
rnacentral:rRNA from 1 species